ensembl:lncRNA
GUCACAGGCAGAAUGCUUAGUAUUAGAAACGAAACAUUCAAAGUUUUAAAUGUUCACAAAGCCCAGAUCCCAUAACUUAGAAAUAUGAAUAAGCUUUCUAGUCUCUCUGAUUCUUUAGUGACUUUGUUUGCCCUAAUCCUUAAAAGGGUUGUACGCUUGUUUUUGAAAGUUGGUAGCAUAGAGCGGCUUAUACCCAGAGGCAAAAGCUUUAAUUGGAAGUGAGGGAAGAUAAAGAACUCCAUCUUAAGCAGCUGGAAAGGGACACACUCUGAUGAAGAGGAUCAGAUUGGUUCGUGCAUAGGAGAAGGGUCCAGUUAAUAAGUGUUCUCUGACUAGUCACAGUGAUUAAUGGAAUUCCCUGUCUUCAGAGACAGAGCCUGAACAAACCAGAAGUUGCUCUUCCCAGUCUCCUUUGCAGCUUGGCAAAGACAAGAUUCCUGUAAUCAGAUGAACCCUCAGUUAAUACUUUGGAAAGAAAGUUCUUAACAACUUUUCAGCUUCCAUUGACAAGACAGUUUGUGUUGUAUGAAAUAACACAGCUGACUUAUAUGACAGUUUUAUCUAUUAAAAAAUUCCUAAAAAUAAAAAAAGUCCUCUUACAGGACUCCGAUUUCUCUGUUCCCUGCAACCAGAAAUUACCCUGCCCUUCACCCAGUUGGCCCUGGCUUUUAUUUUAUGGCCCUGUCCAAGGUGGAGCAGUGAAAGCACAGUCAUAGAGAGUAAG